CCUACGGGAGGCAGCAGUGGGGAAUAUUGCACAAUGGGGGAAACCCUGAUGCAGCGAUGCCGCGUGAGUGAAGAAGUACUUCGGUAUGUAAAGUACUAUCAGCGGGGAAGAAAAUGCCGGUACUUGCGUAAGCAGCCCCGGCUAACGACGUGCCAGCAGCCGCGGUAAUACGUCGGGGGCACGCGUUAACUGGAUUUAAUGGGUGUAAAGGGAGCGUAGACGGCUGUGCAAGACUGGAGUGAAAGGCGGGGGCUCAACCCCCGGACUGCACUGGAAACUGUACGGCUGGAGUGCAGGAGAGGUAAGUGGAAUUCCUGGUGUAGCGGUGAAAUGCGUAGAUAUUAGGAGGAACACCGGUGGCGAAGGCGGCUUACUGGACGAUAACUGACGUUGAGGCGCGAAAGCGUGGGGAGCAAACAGGAUUAGAUACCCCUGUAGUC
rnacentral:rRNA from 1 species